rnacentral:rRNA from 1 species
AGGCCUUGCGCUUGUAAAGCACUUUCAAUAGGGAGCACAAGUUAUGCGCUAAUGGCGUAUAGCCAGGACGUUUCUUAUGGAAGAAGCACCGGCAAACUCUGUCUACCAGCUGCGGUACAUACGAAGGCCCAACCGUUACUCGGAAUUACUGCGCGUAAAGCCGCGUGGGCGGUUUAUUAAGCCAGAUGUGAAAGCCCCGGGCUCAACCUGGGCAUUCGAUUUGAGACUGGAAGGCUAAACUUAGCAAGAUUUCAUUGGAAUUUCAGGUGUAGCGUCUAAAUGCGUAGAGAUCUGAAGGAACAUCAGUUGCAAAACCAACUCACUGGGCCAUUACUGACGCUAAGGUCUAAAACCUGAGUAGCAAACAGGAUUAGAUACCCUGGUAGCCCACGCCCUAAACGAUGUCAACUAGGUGUAUGGAGAAUUUAUUCUUUGGGUACCGAACCAACGCGAUAAGUUGACCGCCUGGGGAGUACGGCCGCAAGACUAAAACUCCAAUGAAUUGACGGGGCCCGCACAAGCGGGGGAACAUGGGGUUUAAUUCGAUGCAACCCGAAGAACCUUACCUGGCCUUGAAUUGUACGGAAGAAAGAACGAAUUUUAUCGGGCCUUCGGGAA